rnacentral:rRNA from 1 species
GACAGAGGGGGCAAGCGUUGCUCGGAAUUACUGGGCGUAAAGGGCGCGUAGGCGGGAUGGCAAGUCGGUCGUGAAAUCCCUCGGCUCAACCGAGGAACGUCGAUCGAUACUGCUGUUCUUGAGGAUUGCAGAGGAGACUGGAAUUCCCGGUGUAGCGGUGAAAUGUGUAGAGAUCGGGGAGGAACACCGGUGGCGAAGGCGGGUCUCUGGGCAAUUCCUGACGCGAGGCGCGAAAGCGUGGGGAGCAAACAGG